UACGUAGGGUGCGAGCGUUAAUCGGAAUUACUAGGCGUAAAGCGUGCGCAGGCGGCUCUCUAAGUCAGAUGUGAAAGCCCCGGGCUUAACCUGGGAAUUGCGUUUGAAACUGGCGGGCUGGAGUGUGGCAGAGGGAGGUGGAAUUCCACGUGUAGCAGUGAAAUGCGUAGAGAUGUGGAGGAACACCGAUGGAGAAGGCAGCCUCCUGGGCCAACACUGACGCUCAGGCACGAAAGCGUGGGGAGCAAACAGG
rnacentral:rRNA from 1 species